rnacentral:rRNA from 1 species
UGGGGAAUAUUGCACAAUGGGCGCAAGCCUGAUGCAGCCAUGCCGCGUGUAUGAAGAAGGCCUUCGGGUUGUAAAGUACUUUCAGCGGGGAGGAAGGGAGUAAAGUUAAUACCUUUGCUCAUUGACGUUACCCGCAGAAGAAGCACCGGCUAACUCCGUGCCAGCAGCCGCGGUAAUACGGAGGGUGCAAGCGUUAAUCGGAAUUACUGGGCGUAAAGCGCACGCAGGCGGUCUGUCAAGUCGGAUGUGAAAUCCCCGGGCUCAACCUGGGAACUGCAUUCGAAACUGGCAGGCUAGAGUCUUGUAGAGGGGAGUAGAAUUCCAGGUGUAGCGGUGAGAUGCGGAGAGAUCUGAAGGAAUACCGGUGGCGAAGGCGGCCCCCUGGACAAAGACUGACGCUCAGGUGCGAAAGCGUGGGGAGCAAACAGG